rnacentral:rRNA from 1 species
CGUAGGGUGCGAGCGUUAAUCGGAAUUACUGGGCGUAAAGCGUGCGCAGGCGGUUUAGUAAGACAGGCGUGAAAUCCCCGGGCUCAACCUGGGAACUGCGCUUGUGACUGCUAAGCUAGAGUACGGCAGAGGGGGUGGAAUUCCACGUGUAGCAGUGAAAUGCGUAGAGAUGUGGAGGAACACCAAUGGCGAAGGCAGCCCCCUGGGUCGAUACUGACGCUCAUGCACGAAAGCGUGGGUAGCAAACAGGAUUAGAUGCCCUGGUAGUCCAACGCCCUAAAACGAUGUCAACUAGGUGUUGGGAGGGUAAAACCUUUUAGUACCGGAGCUAACGCGUGAAGUUGACCGCCUGGGGAGUACGGCCGCAAGGUUA